GCCCUCGUAGCUCAGAGGACAGAGCAGGGGUUUCCUAAACCCUUGGUCGCAGGUUCGAGUCCUGCCGAGGGCG
rnacentral:tRNA from 1 species